AGAACAGAUAGAGGUGCAGUUGAAAAGAGUAGCACAGUCUGUCCUGCGGGUUAUCCUGCGGACUAAGCUCCCUAAGCCGAAUGACCGAUGUGAAAGGUAAAACUGCCGAAGCUGCGAUGUGGGAUAUCGUUUGCUGACUGAUGGUUUAACAGGUCAUCGGUUGUCAUCAUGACUUUAUGAUGGAGUGCUAUCGGCGGA
rnacentral:ncRNA from 2 species